CUAUUACGUAUUUGAUAUUUUGAUAGAAUAUAAUGUCAAUAAAAUAUAUGAUUUUUUACACGCUUUGCUAUAUUUUCAUUCAUUUUUUAUUUUAUUUUUACUUCUGUAAAAUGGCCAUUUUACCCGACUGGAUUGGGCAAAGUAGCCACCGAAUAAACUUUUAACUAUUUAAAUGGGAGAAAAGUUGCAGUUUAAUAAUGAAUAAACAGCAAUGUCAUUCUACACUGGAGGUAAACCUAAUUAUGAUCAAAAUGCAAUAACGAAGAUGACACAAAGCAUUAUAUUUUUAAUGAUUUUAUCUUAAAAAAUUUAAAAAUAAAUUUUAAAUCUCUUUCAAUUUAUUUUCUUUGGCAAUGGGGAAGCAACUAGCUCAAAUGCAUUCUUGAAACCAAUGUUAUCCAUCUGCAAUAGUUUAGAUAUUCAUCACCAGAUUUCCGAAGAAUACAGAGUAGCAAUAUCCAAUGGCCAUUUUAUCCGCUCUGACCACAUUAUCCUGCUCUCCCCUAUAUAUAUAAAUAUAUUUAUAAGUAUAAAUUAUAUUCUUGUUAAUUAUUCAGUUAAAAUUGCUGCUAAUAAUAAUAAGAUAUUUAUAUAUUAUACUAUACAUUAAUAAAUUUAAAGUUUUUAAAAUCUUAUUAAAACAUUUUAUGUAUAAAGUUAGCACAGAACUAAUUUAUUUCUUGGGAAAGGCUAUUCAUUAUGUAUUGAUAACUGAAA
rnacentral:lncRNA from 1 species